rnacentral:rRNA from 1 species
CUGCCCAAUGAAAAAUUUUUAAUGGCCGCAGUAAAUUGACUGUGCAAAGGUAGCAUAAUAAAUAGUUUUUUAAUUGAAGACUAGAAUGAAAGAGAGGAUGAAAUUUAAACUGUCUCUAUUUAAUUAAUAAAAAUUUAUUUUAAGUAAAAAAUCUUAAAUAAAUUUAAGGGACGAGAAGACCCUAUAGAAUUUAAAAAAUUUAAAUAAAUAAUUAAAUAAAUUUUAUAAUAAGUUAUAAAUUUAAAUUUUUUUGAUUGGGAGGAUAUUAAAAUUUAAAAAACUUUUAAUUUUAAAAUACAUAAAUUAAUGAAUUAAUUAAUAUAAAUAUAUAAGAAAAAUAAAAUUACCUUAGGGAUAACAGCGUAAUAAAUUUUUAAAGUUCAAAUUAAAAAAAUUGAUUGCGACCUCGAUGUUGAAUUAAAAUAAAAUUUAGGUGAAAAAGCUUAAUAUUUAAGUCUGUUCGACUUUU